GAAACUCAAAUGAAUUGACGGGGCCCGCACAAGCGGUGGAGUAUGUGGUUUAAUUCGAUGCAACGCGAAGAACCUUACCUGGUCUUGACAUCCCGGAGACCCUUAGGAAACUAGGGGGUGCUUCCAUCUGGAAGAAUCUGGAGACAGGUGCUGCAUGGCUGUCGUCAGCUCGUGUCGUGAGAUGUUGGGUUAAGUCCCGCAACGAGCGCAACCCUUGCCUUUAGUUGCCAGCAGUUCGGCUGGGCACUCUAAAGGGACUGCCGGUGUUAAACCGGAGGAAGGUGGGGAUGACGUCAAGUCCUCAUGGCCUUUAUGACCAGGGCUACACACGUACUACAAUGGCCGAUACAAAGGGCAGCGACACUGCGAGGUGAAGCCAAUCCCGUAAAAUCGGUCUCAGUCCGGAUUGGAGUCUGCAACUCGACUCCAUGAAGUUGGAAUCGCUAGUAAUCGUGGAUCAGCAUGCCACGGUGAAUACGUUCCCGGGCCUU
rnacentral:rRNA from 1 species